CAGUGGCAGCUUGGUUGUCAUAUGUGUGAUGACACUUUCUAAAGUCUUCCAGAAUGACACCACAUAUAUGGCAGCUAAACUGUUACAUGGAA
rnacentral:pre_miRNA from 7 species